UUGUAAACGAAGAAAAAUAAAAUAAACAGAGAGAUUAUACCCUAGAUACUGGAAACAACCCAUAAAGAAUUUCUGCGCGCAAACACCUUGGUACACCCCGCCAUUUACGUUUGAAAUUGAAAAUUUCAACUAUUUCAAUUUAUAAAAACUGUAAGCUUAGUAUUCCAACUAGGCGCUGGGUUAUUCGUCGGCCGCUGAAUAAAAGGAUAAUUUAAGAAACAUUUUUUAAAAAUGAAGCAUCAGGAUGAGGACAAGCUUUUCAUUUAUACGACGAUGACCUAUUGCUGAAAUAAUUGGGACCUUUCUUGAUAAAACCCAGGCAACAAGCCUAUUUUAUGCUUCUCUUGAGACCUGCGAAAUAAUGUGGAACACAUUGUCACCCAUAUAUCUUAGUGAGCCUAAUUUACCCCAGUACAAAGACAUUGCUUAUGACUUCAAAGAAAGGUGGAUAAUGCCGAUCUGUGUGGCAGAGCGAUACAUGGCAAACAUAUUGCAAUAACCUGUCCAAGAACUCUGGCUUCAUGUAGUUCAACUACAAAAAGUUCCACGGUAUUGUCCUGAUGGAAAGGGGGAACAUCUUCACAUCGGCUAGAAUUGGAAGUUACGCAGCGAAAGUGGUGGACAUAUUACUAAUCUUUACAAAAAUAUAUUCACACAUUAUACAAUAGAAAAAGAGGCAUUUAAUUAUCCCCUAUCACGUGCGCGCCAAGUAAUCGAAAGUAGCAAGGUAUUCUUACUGCACGCUGGUGCGUACUUCGCUCUGUGAUAGAGUGCAGCCCGAAGAACGUGGAAAAAAAUUGUGCUUGGAUGUCUUGUUCUACACAACUUUGUCAUGCUAAAUGACCACCAACGAUUAAGAAAACUCUGAGCAAAAUACCAACUGGCGCAAUGAGUGGCACGAUAAGCUCAACUCACGAAAUGCCACCGCUUCCAUCUAAUGGGGUACCUUAGCAGAGUAUUUUUUAAAGCAAUGAGUAGUUCCUUAUCAAUUAAUUAAUAUCAUCAAAACAUCUAUUUUUUCAAUAAAAACAGUACAAAAAAAA